GGAGCGCCGGGCCCGGCCGGGGCGGCCGCCUGCAGCAUCGCUCCGACGGGGAAAGGCUGGGGCGGCUCAGCCUCGGGAAGGGACAUCACCAUAAAUAUCUAAAGAGGGUGUCAGAGCAUGGAGCCGGGCUCUGCUCGGUGAUGCCAAGCCACAGGACAAGAGGAAACGGGCAGAAACUGAUGCCCAGGAAGUUGCACCUGAAUAUGGGUUUUCCUUGUGAAUGUGCUUUUAAUGUUCAUGGGCUUGUUGCAGUGCUGCCAACAGUGUUAAAAAUAACAGACCAAGACUGACCUGUCGGAUUCGUGUUUUCAAUCUGAUCUUACGGCUUUGAUGACAGAAAAGCAGCGUUUUCAUUGUAAAAGUAGAUUUCUGAUUCUGCAGUGAUCAGUUUAAAAAGAGGCAUGAAGAAGAUAAGCAGGACCUGCAUUAAAUUUUGGGAGCUGGUAAAAAGACUUUCUGUUUCUGUUUGCAGAGUAAAAAACU